rnacentral:rRNA from 1 species
UACGGAGGAUCCGAGCGUUAUCCGGAUUUAUUGGGUUUAAAGGGAGCGUAGGUGGAUUGUUAAGUCAGUUGUGAAAGUUUGCGGCUCAACCGUAAAAUUACAGUUGAAACUGGCAGUCUUGAGUACAGUAGAGGUGGGCGGAAUUCGUGGUGUAGCGGUGAAAUGCUUAGAUAUCACGAAGAACUCCGAUUGCGAAGGCAGCUCACUGGACUGCAACUGACACUGAGGCUCGAAAGUGUGGGUAUCAAACAGG